rnacentral:rRNA from 1 species
GUGCCAGCAGCCGCGGUAAUACGGAGGGGGCCAGCGUUGUUCGGAAUCAUUGGGCGUAAAGGGCGCGUAGGCGGCCGCACAAGUCGGACGUGAAAUCCCUCGGCUCAACCGGGGAACUGCGUCCGAUACUGUGUGGCUCGAGUCCUGGAGAGGGUGGCGGAAUUCCCAGUGUAGCGGUGAAAUGCGUAGAUACUGGGAGGAACACCGGUGGCGAAGGCGGCCACCUGGACAGGUACUGACGCUAAAGCGCGAAAGCGUGGGGAGCAAACAGGAUUAGAAACCCUGGUAGUCC